AAUAUGUCCAUAGUACAGAUGAGGACAACAUUGGGGAACCGCCCAAAAGGACUUAAAAGGAAGAACUCAAACACCUUGCCCUCUGGAGUGAAGAGAUUAUGCUCCCCCCAUGUUGAUGGAGGGAUGGAAACUGCAGUCUGUUGGAUUUCUUUCUUCCUACGGGAUACUUUCAUCCAUUUGUCCUUCAGGUUUCCAAACGAAAUACCUGGAACUGACCCCUUUGGCCGAGUUUUGGCUAGAUCCAAAUGGUCCCAAGACACGCCUGGCAUCUUGGGAAGAGAGACCAGUUAGGGCUGUAAAGAUCCAGGAGAACUUUUUGGAGGUGGUGAGGGAUCCAGGAGGACCUCUUGUCUUACAGGUAAUGAGGCAUGAGUCUAGCUUUAAAUAGUGGAACUUUGGGGCAGCGCAGGGAAUGUAUGUCCUAGACAUCUCCAAACCCAACCUGCCAGAAACUCAACCUCCAUCCCCAAACCGGAAGAAGAAUUCCCUACUCCACUGAAUUCCCUACUCAGUGGAUUCCACUUCUGGUGGACUCCACACUUCAUUAGAAAAUUUAACAAAGAUAUCUGAAUAUGAAGGAAAACAUUUAGGAUUACCAAUUACUAUAUCCAUACCAUUCCCUUACUACCAGGUAGAGUAAAAAAAAAUGAUAAUAAAAUCACAUAAAUGUGCUACAAAGUAAACUAGCAAUGGAAUGACACCACUGAAAUUCUUUGUUUUGGUGUGUUAUUUUUUGGAUAUUGAACUCACUGUUUCUGCCAAUAACUGGUAAUUGAACGAUACUAAAACUACGGCAAAGGCGAUCCCUCCCCCAGAACUGAAGUAGUUCCGCGCUGGUGCCCUUUAAGGGGAGAACCGCCCUCUUUCUGGCGUCAUUUCCGCUUCCGGCCACGAGCGGCCAUUUCCACUUCUUCCCUGCGACUUUUCGCGGCCGAAAGUUCUUUUCCGACGUCGCCUGUGCUUCUGGAGGAGGGACGGGACCACUGAACCGCAGCUAUGACCGAGGCUGACGUCAAUCCGAAGGCCUACCCUCUUGCAGAUGCCCACCUCACCAAGAAACUAUUGGACCUCGUUCAGCAGUCAUGUAACUACAAGCAGCUUCGAAAAGGAG